rnacentral:lncRNA from 13 species
AUGUGUGUGGUUGUGUAUGAUGUUUCUGGUUCGGUUGGUGGAGAUGAUGUGUUCCUGACUGUGGAUGAUGUUUCAGGUUCGGUUAAUGGGGAUGUAGUCGUGGAUGAUGUUGCAGUUAUGGUCGUUGGGAAUGUUGUAGUUGUGGAUGUUGUUUCAGGUUUAGUUGAUGUGGAUAUUGUAUCUGUGGAUGAUGUUUCAGUUUGGGUUGAUUUGGAUGUUGUAGUUGUGGAUGAGGUUUCAUUUUCGGUUGAUGGGGAUGUGUAUGUGGCUGUGGAUGAUGUUUCAAGUUUGGUUGAUAUGGAUGUUGUAGUUGUGGAUGAUGUUUCAGUUGAUGGGAAUGUUGUAGUUUUGGAGGAUGUUUCUGUUUCGGGCGAUGGGAAUGUUGUAGUUGUGGAUGAUGUUUCAGGUUUGGUUGAUGGGGAUGUUGUGUAUGUGGCUGUGGAUGAUGUUUCAGGUUUGGUUGAUGUGGAUGUUGCAGUUAUGGCUGAUGGGAAUGUUGUAGUUUUGGAGGAUGUUUUAGUUUCGGUUAAUGGGAAUGUUGUAGUUGAGGAUGAUGUUUCAGGUUCGAUUGAUGGGGAUGUUGUGUAUGUAGCUGUGGAUGAUGUUUCAGGUUUGGUUGAUAUGGAUGUUGUAGUUGUGGAUGAUGUUUCAGUUUCAGUUGAUGGGAAUGUUGUAGUUUCGGGGGAUGGGAAUGUUGUAGUUGUGGAUGAUGUUUCAGGUUUGGUUGAUGGGAAUGUUGUGUAUGUGGCUGUGGAUGAUGUUUCAGGUUUGGCUGAUAUGGAUGUUGUAGUUGUGGAUGAUGUAUCAGCUUCAGUUGAUAAGGUUGUUGUGGAUAUGUAUGAUGUUUCAGUUUCAGUUGAUAGGGAUGUUGUGGAUGUGGAAGAUGUUUCAGUUUCAGUUGAUGGGUCAGUAAUGUAUGUGGCUGUGUAUGAUGUUUCUGGUUUGGUUGAUGGGAAUGUUGUAGUUGUGGAUGAGGUUUCUGGUUCAGUUGGUGGAGAUGAUGUGUUUCUGGCUAUGGAGGAUGUUUCCGUUUUAGUUGACGGGAAUGUUGUAGUUUUGGAGGAUGUUUCAGGUUUGGUGGAUGGGGAUGUUGUGUAUGUGGCUGUGGAGGAUGUUCCAGGUUUGGCUGACAUGGAUGUUGUAGUUGUGGAUGAUGUUUCAGUUUCAGUUGAUGGGAAUGUUGUAGUUGUGGAUGAUGUUUCUGGUUCGGUUGAUAGGGAUGUUGUAGUUAUGGAUGAUUUUUCAAUUGAUGGGAAUGUUGUAGUUGUGGAUGAUGUUUGA